AGUCAAAUUUCAAGUACUCAACAUGAUUUAAAUAAAUCAAAAGAUGAAUUACAGAAAAAGAAAAUUCAAGAGCUAGAAACUGCACUCCAUGAAGCAAGAAAAAGUGCCAAGGACAAAAAAGAGAAGAUUAUAGAGAUGCAGAGAGAACAAGAGAUGACUAAUGAUGCCAUAGAUAAAAUGCUUUUGAAAGUUGAUGAUACAAAUAAGUACCUGAUAAAAGCAAAAGCAAUUGUCCAAAACCUUGAGGAAAAUGUUGCUUUAACAGCUAAGCUCUCUAAAGAAGU